rnacentral:rRNA from 1 species
UCUAUUAAUACUGGGGGCUCAUGACGGUACUGUAAGAAUAAGCACCGGCUAACUACGUGCCAGCAGCCGCGGUAAUACGUAGGGUGCAAGCGUUAAUCGGAAUUACUGGGCGUAAAGCGUGCGCAGGCGGUUAUAUAAGACAGAUGUGAAAUCCCCGGGCUCAACCUGGGAACUGCAUUUGAGACUGUAUAGCUAGAGUACGGUAGAGGGGGAUGGAAUUCCGCGUGUAGCAGUGAAAUGCGUAGAUAUGCGGAGGAACACCGAUGGCGAAGGCAAUCCCCUGGACCUGUACUGACGCUCAUGCACGAAAGCGUGGGGAGCAAACAGGAUUAGAUACCCUGGUAGUCCACGCCCUAAACGAUGUCAACUGGUUGUUGGGUCUUAACUGACUCAGUAACGAAGCUAACGCGUGAAGUUGACCGCCUGGGGAGUACGGCCGCAAGGUUGAAACUCAAAUGAAUUGACGGG